rnacentral:rRNA from 1 species
UGUUGAAACGCGAUUACUACGGAUUCCAGCUUCAUGAGGGCGAGUUGCAGCCCUCAAUCCGGACUAAGAUUGGCUUUAGGAGGUUGCCAUCCCCUUCGGGGUAGAUACCCAUUGUACCAACCAUUGUAGCUCGCGUGUAGCCCGGGAUAUUCGGGGCAUACUGACCUACCGUUGCCCAUUCCUUCCUCCGCUUUAGCAGCGGCGGUCCCCACAGUGUACCCGUCACUCCGGAGAGUACGCUGGCAACUGUGGGCGUGGGUCUCGCGCGUUGCCUGAUUAACAGGAUGCUUCACAGUACGAACUGACGACGGCCAUGCACCACCUCUCAGGCUAAUCCGGCAAAGUCUUCAGCCUGGCCUUCAUAUCGCUGUCGACCCCGGUAAGAUUUCCGGCGUUGAAUCCAAUUAAACCGCAAGCUCCACCCGUUGUGGUGCUCCCCCGCCAAUUCCUUUAAGUUUCAGCCUUGCGGCCGUACUUCCCAGGUGGCUCGCUUCACGGCUUCCCUACGGCACCGACCACGGUCGCACCGUGGCCAACACCUAGCGAGUAUCGUUACGGCUAGGACUACCCGGGUAUCUAAUCCGGUUCGUGU